rnacentral:rRNA from 1 species
UACAGGGGGUGCAAACGUUGCUCGGAAUCAUUGGGCGUAAAGCGCGCGUAGGUGGCUUCGUAAGUCCGUUGUGAAAGUCAAAGGCUCAACCUUUGAAUGCCGAUGGAUACUGCGAAGCUAGAGUACGGAAGGGGCGAGUGGAAUUCCUGGUGUAGCGGUGGAAUGCGCAGAUAUCAGGAGGAACACCAAUAGCGAAGGCAGCUCGCUGGGACGUUACUGACACUAAGGCGCGAAAGCGUGGGGAGCGAACAGG